UAGGGAGGAGGCAAGCGUUAUCCGGAAUUAUUGGGCGUAACGCGUCCGUAGGUGGUUCACCAAGUCUGCUGUCAAAGGGUGGGGCUUAACCUCAUAAAGGCAGUGGAAACUGGUGAGCUAGAGUGCGGUAGGGGUAAGGGGAAUUCCCAGUGUAGCGGUGAAAUGCGUAGAGAUUGGGAAGAACAUCGGUGGCGAAAGCGCCUUACUGGGCCUGCACUGACACUGAGGGACGACAGCUAGGGGAGCGAAAGGG
rnacentral:rRNA from 1 species